AAGGCUCAUUCAGCCAAUGUGUUUCUAAGCGUAGUAAGAUAGUAGCGUCUUGAGAGUGAAUGAUUCUCAAGGGGAGAAUUAGAAAUCAAAACUUUCCUAGUCGAAUGGCCUGGAACGGCCAGCCAAAGAAGGUGACAGCCCUGUAGGCGAAAGGAGUUUUGGGCUCCUAGUUAUUAUUCUUGAGUACCACGGGACUCGUGAAAUCAAGGCUAAAUACAUUCCAUAACCGAUAGUGAACUAGUACCGUGAGGGAAAGGUGA
rnacentral:autocatalytically_spliced_intron from 1 species